GGGCCGGUCCCCCGCCGGCUCCCUCAAUGCCUCCGGGCUGUGACUGCUCGGGCCGCGCUCCUGGCCGCCACCGAACGCUUACUCCAUCUCCUCCGUCACCCCCGAGUCCGCAGAACCCCGAGAUCGAGGAGUAAAGGGGGAAGGGAGGGAAGGGACUAGGGAAGAAGAGCACGGUAGGGGGAAGAGCACCGAAAGACCUGCCCGCUCCUGCAUGACGUCACUUCCGGGCGGUUCGGAAGGCUGUGAAGGACAUCUGGAAACAACAAACAGUCACAUCUCCUUAAAUGGAUCCACUUUCCGAUCUUUGAAAAUACUUUAGAGCCUCCAGUUAAAGUGUAAACUUCCCAGCUAAGUGAAGAUGAAGAUCUUGUCAUUUCUAACACUUGUAUAAAAA
rnacentral:lncRNA from 1 species